GAUGAAGAACGCAGCGAAAUGCGAUACGUAAUGUGAAUUGCAAAUUCAGUGAAUCAUCGAGUCUUUGAACGCACAUUGCGCCCCCUGGUAUUCCGAGGGGCAUGCCUGUUCGAGCGUCAUUACACCACUCAAGCUAUGCUUGGUAUUGGGCGUCGUCCUUAGUUGGGCGCGCCUUAAAGACCUCGGCGAGGCCACUCCGGCUUUAGGCGUAGUAGAAUUUAUUCGAACGUCUGUCAAAGGAGAGGAACUCUGCCGACUGAAACCUUUAUUUUUCUAGGUUGACCUCGGAUCAGGUAGGGAUACCCGCUGAACUUAAGCAUAUCAAUAAGCGGAGGA
rnacentral:misc_RNA from 1 species